rnacentral:rRNA from 1 species
UGGGGAAUAUUGCACAAUGGGCGCAAGCCUGAUGCAGCCAUGCCGCGUGUAUGAAGAAGGCCUUCGGGUUGUAAAGUACUUUCAGCGGGGAGGAAGGGAGUAAAGUUAAUACCUUUGCUCAUUGACGUUACCCGCAGAAGAAGCACCGGCUAACUCCGUGCCAGCAGCCGCGGUAAUACGGCGGGUGCAAGCGUUAAUCGGAAUUACUGGGCGUAAAGCGCACGCAGGCGGUUUGUUAAGUCAGAUGUGAAAUCCUCGGGCUCAACCUGGGAACUGCAUCUGAUACUGGCAAGCUUGAGUCUCGUAGAGGGGGGUAGAAUUCCAGGUGUAGCGGUGAAAUGCGUAGAGAUCUGGAGGAAUACCGGUGGCGAAGGCGGCCCCCUGGACGAAGACUGACGCUCAGGUGCGAAAGCGUGGGGAGCAAACAGG